rnacentral:rRNA from 1 species
GACGAACGCUGGCGGCGUGCUUAACACAUGCAAGUCGUACGGUAAGGCCCUUUCGGGGGUCCACGAGUGGCGAACGGGUGAGUAACACGUGAGUAACCUGCCCACAACUUUGGGAUAACGCUAGGAAACUGGUGCUAAUACUGGAUAUGUGCUCCUGCUGCAUGGUGGGGGUUGGAAAGCUCCGGCGGUUGUGGAUGGACUCGCGGCCUAUCAGCUUGUUGGUGGGGUAGUGGCCUACCAAGGCGGCGACGGGUAGCCGGCCUGAGAGGGUGACCGGCCACAUUGGGACUGAGAUACGGCCCAGACUCCUACGGGAGGCAGCAGUGGGGAAUAUUGCACAAUGGGCGCAAGCCUGAUGCAGCAACGCCGCGUGCGGGAUGACGGCCUUCGGGUUGUAAACCGCGUUCAGCAGGGACGAAGCUUUUUGUGACGGUACCUGCAGAAGAAGCACCGGCUAACUACGUG